rnacentral:rRNA from 1 species
GUGUCAGCCGCCGCGGUAAUACGUAGGGGGCAAGCGUUGUCCGGAAUUAUUGGGCGUAAAGAGCUCGUAGGCGGCUUGUCGCGUCGGUUGUGAAAGCCCGGGGCUUAACCCCGGGUCUGCAGUCGAUACGGGCGGGCUAGAGUUCGGUAGGGGAGAUCGGAAUUCCUGGUGUAGCGGUGAAAUGCGCAGAUAUCAGGAGGAACACCGGUGGCGAAGGCGGAUCUCUGGGCCGAUACUGACGCUGAGGAGCGAAAGCGUGGGGAGCGAACAGGAUUAGAUACCCGGGUAGUCC